rnacentral:rRNA from 1 species
UACGGAGGGGGCGAGCGUUAUCCGGAUUCACUGGGUUUAAAGGGUGCGUAGGCGGGCUUGUAAGUCAGGGGUGAAAGCCCGGAGCUUAACUCCGGAACUGCCAUUGAUACUGCAGGUCUUGAGUACACUUGAGGUGGGCGGAAUACAUCAUGUAGUGGUGAAAUACUUAGAUAUGAUGUAGAACACCGAUUGCGAAGGCAGCUCACUAAAUUGUAACUGACGCUGAGGCACGAAAGCGUGGGGAUCAAACAGG